rnacentral:rRNA from 1 species
UGAGUAACGCGUAUGCGACCUGCCCGUUGCAGGGGGGAUAAUCGGGAGAAAUCCCGUCUAAUACCGCGUAACGCCGCGGGGCUGCAUGGCCCUGCGGCCAAAGGGAGCGAUUCCGGCAGCGGAUGGGCAUGCGUGACAUUAGCUAGUUGGCGGGGCAACGGCCCACCAAGGCGACGAUGUCUAGGGGUUCUGAGAGGAAGGUCCCCCACACUGGUACUGAGACACGGACCAGACUCCUACGGGAGGCAGCAG